ACGGGCUCCUCGAAGGGAGGUGCCAGCGCGUCAGGGGCGUCCAGGGAGGGUCACGGCUUCCCGGGUGGGAAAUGUGUCCUACACUCAGAUCUUCACGCCACGCUGUGCACACCCAGAGUCCUGCCUGGGACAGAGGGGACAGAUGUCUUUGAUGGAGACCUCCCACUUCAGGACCCGCACUUCCUGCAGAGUCUGGUGUGGAACUGAUGUUCACUAGGUCUCUCCUUCUGUGAGCAUCAUUACCCCUGCAGAAGAGGGGGAAUGGAGGGACUAUCUGUGCUUCUCACGUUUCUCCAAUGGAAGGAGGAGAGCCAUUGGAUUUUUCAAGGCUGCUGCAUGCUGGGAGCUGACGUAGUCACUGGGUCCAGCGACAGUGAGGACUGAAGUGAUACAGGUACAUCCAUGGCACAGUUGUAAGAAACGUGAAAAUAUGGCCGGGCGUUGGUGGCGCACGCCUUUAAUCCCAGCACUCGGGAAGCAGAGCCAGGCGGAUCUCUGUGAGUUCGAG